rnacentral:rRNA from 1 species
AAAGGAAUUGACGGGGGCCCGCACAAGCGGAGGAACAUGUGGUUUAAUUCGAUGAUACGCGAGGAACCUUACCCGGGCUUGAAAUGCGGACGGCAGGCGGAGAGACCCGCCUUCCCCUCGGGGCGUCCGUGUAGGUGCUGCAUGGUUGUCGUCAGCUCGUGCCGUGAGGUGUCGGCUUAAGUGCCAUAACGAGCGCAACCCUCAUCGUUAGUUGCCAUCAGGUUAUGCUGGGGACUCUAGCGAGACUGCCAUCGUAAGGUGCGAGGAAGGUGGGGAUGACGUCAAAUCAGCACGGCCCUUAUGUCCGGGGCGACACACGUGUUACAAUGGGCGGUACAAAGGGUUGCUACCCGGUGACGGGGCGCCAAUCCCCAAAACCGCUCUCAGUUCGGAUCGGAGUCUGCAACUCGACUUCGUGAAGCUGGAAUCGCUAGUAAUCGCGGGUCAGCAUACCGCGGUGAAUACGUUCCCGGGCCUUGUACACACCGCCCGU